CAGCCGUCCAUGUACACGCGUAUCUUCUUUUUCUUCUUUCCCCUGAUUCUCCUCCAUUGGUUCAAUUCAUCGCCUUUCAAAUACAAUCCUAAUAGAGAAACCCCCAACACCACCACCAGCCACGUCGCCAUCUUUUCCUUCUCCGAUUGGCCGCUAGCGUCGGAAGCCAUUGCUUGCAAAAAAUAAAAUAAAAUUCCCAAAUGCUGCGUCUAUUCUAUGAAAUGCAUCUUCCUUCGAACAAUUUUCCCACCAACCAAACCGAUUUGCCUUCACCUUCACCUCUCCUGAGACGGUUUAGGGUUUCCCUUUGCCAUUUCUGUAUCUGAGAAUUGAAAUGAACAUAUCUGAAUUUUCGCAUGCCCGUUGAAUUUGAAAUUUAUUUUUAUUUU
rnacentral:misc_RNA from 1 species